UUAUCGCUCUGUAACGCUCUUGACCAGCCGUGUCCCAUAUCUGAGCUUUAACAGUUCUUCCCUCAACCUGAAGAGUACGAGUGGCGAAUUCGACGCCAAUGGUGGACUUGGACUCCAAACAAAACUCAUUCCGAGUGAAUCGGGAAAGGAGGUUGGAUUUUCCAACGCCGGAGUCGCCGAUUAGCACAACUUUGAAGAGGUAAUCAUAGUCAUCGUCGGGUCUCCGAGCCAUAUUUCGCG
rnacentral:misc_RNA from 1 species